rnacentral:snRNA from 1 species
AUACUUACCUGGAAGGGGAGAUACCAUGAUCACGAAGGUGGUUUUCCCAGGGUGGGGCUUAUCCAUUGCACUCCGCAUGUGUUGACUCUCUGAUUUCCUCAAAUGUGGGAAAUUCGACUGCAUAAUUUGUGGUAGUGGGAGACUGCGUUUAUACUCUCCCC